AUUUUUUUCUUUGUGCCUCCUUUGGCUUGGGCUUAGAGCACUGGCAGGGAAAGUAAAAAGGAGGCAGGCAGACAAACGGGAGGACAGAAGGGGAAAGAGCUGAAGUCCCGCAGGCGGGACCUGGAGGGAGGCUGGGGCGGGUGGCGGCAGUGAGGGGCUUCCCCUGCUCCUGGCGGAUAACAGAGCGUGAAUGGUGAAAGUCUCUAAACAAACAUCUCAAUAACCCGCGUGCUGUAAUUGUCAUGUUGUUAAGCAUUUCCUCACUGACAUACUCCACAUUUAGCCUCUAAUCUCCAAAGUGGAUGUCAAAGCAGUUUCCGACAUCUUUAGAGAGCUUGUCCUGCAGGGUUUUCUGUUACCGCCAAGAGCGUCGUCAUAUGCGAUGCCCUUCGUGGCCAGGGGCCAGAGACUUAAAUGAAGUCAAGUGAGUAAAGUAAGUGCAAGCUAGUCUCCUCUGCACUGGGGAGUUGAAAUGCGUGUACGGAGAGUGUCUAGAAAAGAUGAAAAUCCGAGGUUCGUAGCUCCAAAUCAUUACAUCCUCAACAACAGAACAUGAUCAUUACCCACGAGAGAAAGGGACAAAAUUCUCCUCCUAUACUGAUUAUUGUUAUGGCAGGAAGCAAUAACUCCUUUGUUAUGAAAAUAGUGUUUGUUAUGAAACAAACAGAGUGAGCAGCCAUCUAGAUAAACAUUCCCUCUAACAAGGCUACCGUCUCUGUGAUGUUU